rnacentral:rRNA from 1 species
AACGGGUGGAGCCUGCGGUUUAAUUGGAUUCAACGCCGGAAAUCUCACCGGGGCGACAGCAAUAUGAAGGUCAGGCUGAAGACCUUACCCGAUUAGCUGAGAGGUGGUGCAUGGCCGUCGUCAGUUCGUACUGUGAAGCAUCCUGUUAAGUCAGGCAACGAGCGAGACCCACGUCCACAGUUGCCAGCAUACCCUCCGGGGUGAUGGGUACACUGUGGAGACCGCCGCUGCUAAAGCGGAGGAAGGAGUGGGCAACGGUAGGUCAGUAUGCCCCGAAUCUCCCGGGCUACACGCGGGCUACAAUGGUUGGUACAAUGGGCAUCUACCCCGAAAGGGGAAGGAAAUCUCUUAAAGCCAAUCGUAGUUCGGAUUGAGGGCUGCAACUCGCCCUCAUGAAGCUGGAAUCCGUAGUAAUCGCGUUUCAACAGAACGCGGUGAAUACGUCCCUGCUCCUU